rnacentral:rRNA from 1 species
GACGUAGGGCGCGAGCGUUGUCCGGAUUUAUUGGGCGUAAAGAGCUCGUAGGCGGCUUGUCGCGUCGUCCGUGAAAACCUGCGGCUCAACUGCAGGCUGGCGGUCGAUACGGGCAGGCUGGAGUUCGGUAGGGGAGACUGGAAUUCCUGGUGUAGCGGUGAAAUGCGCAGAUAUCAGGAGGAACACCGGUGGCGAAGGCGGGUCUCUGGACAGUUCCUGACACUGAGGCACGAAGGCCAGGGGAGCAAACGGG